GAGUUUGGCACCUCGAUGUCGGCUCAUCACAUCCUGGGGCUGUAGCCGGUCCCAAGGGUAUGGCUGUUCGCCAUUUAAAGUGGUACGUGAGCUGGGUUUAAAACGUCGUGAGACAGUUUGGUCCCUAUCUGCCGUGGGCGCUGGAAAUUUGAAGGGACCUGCUCCUAGUACGAGAGGACCGGAGUGGACGUAUCUCUGGUGGACCGGUUGUCAUGCCAAUGGCAUAGCCGGGUAGCUAAAUACGGAAGAGAUAAACGCUGAAAGCAUCUAAGCGUGAAACUCGCCUUGAGAUGAGAUUUCCCUGGGGGUUUAACCCCCCUAAAGAGUCGUUCGAGACCAGGACGUUGAUAGGACGGAUGUGGAAGUGCAGUAAUGCAUUAAGCUGACCGUUACUAAUUGCUCGUGAGGCUUGAUCCU
rnacentral:rRNA from 1 species